AGCGAACGCUGGCGGCAUGCCUAACACAUGCAAGUCUGACGGGCUUGGGGCGACCCAGGUCAGUGGCGGACGGGUGAGGAGCGCGUAGGAACGCAUCCAAGGGUGGGGGACAACCGCGGGAAACUGCGGCUAAUACCGCAUGGGGCCUGAGGGCCAAAGGCUGGGAGACCAGUCGCCUGUGGAGCGGCCUGCGUCCGAUUAGCUAGGUUGGGGGGACGGGGACCCGACCCAACGGACGGGCGGUAGUACGGUUACGGUCGUCGGUUCGGUUCGUAGGAAGGGAAGGUAGUAGUACUACGACCGACCCAACCCGGGAACCCGGGUA
rnacentral:rRNA from 1 species